GGCCAGUGUGGUGUAAUGGUUUGAGUGUUGGACUAUGACUCUGAAGACCUGGGUUCGAUUCCCAGCACGGCCA